rnacentral:rRNA from 1 species
CAGCAGCCGCGGUAAUACAGAGGGUGCGAGCGUUAAUCGGAUUUACUGGGCGUAAAGCGUGCGUAGGCGGCUUUUUAAGUCGGAUGUGAAAUCCCUGAGCUUAACUUAGGAAUUGCAUUCGAUACUGGGAAGCUAGAGUAUGGGAGAGGAUGGUAGAAUUCCAGGUGUAGCGGUGAAAUGCGUAGAGAUCUGGAGGAAUACCGAUGGCGAAGGCAGCCAUCUGGCCUAAUACUGACGCUGAGGUACGAAAGCAUGGGGAGCAAACAGGAUUAGAUACCCCCGUAGUCCCUGUCUCUUAUAG